UGAGGGGCGGGAAUGGGGACAGAGUUUGGGGACAGGGACAGAGGAUGGGGACAGGGUGGGGACAGGGGGUGCAAAGAGCUCAGAGUCACGGCGUUCUAAAAUUGAUAGUACAGGCCUUACUGUUAAUGAAAUCAAGCGAUUUUGACCCUGAUCCCGAGGCUUCGCGCACGCCAGAUUCUCUUUUUUGCUUUUUCUUGAAAUAAAAGUAGUUUUUCAGUCCCUCCUGAGGUGAAUAUGUCCAGUUCUGGGCUCCUGGGCACAGGAGAAAGACAAGGAGCUGCUGGAGAGGGCCCAGUGGCGGCACAGAGGUGCUUUGGAGUCUGCAGCAUCUCUGUGAGCAGAGACUCGGAGCUGGGCCUGGUUACUCUGAGCAAAGACCUCUGACAGGGGAUCUCAUCAAUGCACAGAAAUGUCUCCAAGAGGAUGGUGCCAGGCUCUUUUUGGUGUUUCCCAGCAGCAGGGCGAGGAGCAAUGGCCAUAAGCUAAAGCACAAGGAGUUUCACCUCGAGGCCAGCAAAAGCUGGCACACAGUGUGGGACAGGCUGCCCGGGCAGGUCGUGGCUCUCCCUCUCACCUGGACACGUUCCUUAUCACCUGCUCCAGCUGACCCUGCCUUGUCAGGGCGGUUGGUUGCAUUAAAUCACCUCCGGAGGUUCUUCUUUAUCCCUUUCCUAACAAAAAAGGCCGUUCAAAAAACCCAGAACCACCAGAAUGAAAAAAAAAAAAAGGGGUAAAGACUUUACUAGGGUAUGGCUAGGAUUUAAUUUUUCAUAUCAUUUGAACAAAUAGGGGUUUUUGCAUGAGGUUUAAUUCUUCCAUCUUGAAAGAACCUGCUACAUCCAAAUCUUGGUGACCUUCAGGAGAAAACUAUCUGAAAGGGAAUUUUUUUUAAAUUUCCUUCCUCUCUCUCCCCAGUCCGUUUAGAGGAACUGUUGUGCCUUCCUCUCAGAGCUAAAGGAGAACUAGAUGUGUCCCAGCUCGGACAUCAUGGAGAGUGAAAUCAAAGUUCUGUUUGCUUUUCCUGGACCAUGGGAAAAAAAGUAAAGUCUGAGAUUCCCCUGUAUGAAGAUGAUUAGGGUCAUGUGUCCCACUCUGUAAUACCAUGCCAACACUUCUCCAAAGACAUAAAGCAUGAGAGGAAAUACCAUCAAGCCAGGAUGUUUUUCCCCCAGUUCACGUAUCCUAAAUGUCCAUUCUUGAGUCUAAGGCCACAUUCCAUUCCCUAGUGCUAAUAGAAUUAUAUUUUUUUAAUGAGCUUUUAAAAUAGUUUUCUGUAAUGGUAUUCUUUCAAGUAAAGAAUACCACUAUGAAAUUUGUAUCAGUUGGGUCGUGGAAAUGGCAUCAGCUGUAUAUGAUGGUUCAUGUCAUCAUGGCCUGAUCCCUUCAGAGGAUCACCAUUGCUACCAAUGCUCUUCACAUGAAAAGGGUGGAGGGGUUUAGCCAGCAGCUUACCCAGAAGGGCUCUGGUGCCAGUGGUGCUGAUUCCCUUGAGCAGGAAUCCCAGUUGCUUAAGUUCCACUGCAGUUAGAAGUGCUUCAUUUCAGGAGAACAAAUCUGGGAUGGGUAAACCAAAGCUCAACCUCUAAAUUGUAUUGUAGGGCUUUUUAUUUUAAGCCAGCUGCUGGUGAAGUGUGUUUUCCCCAGAAAAGCUGAGUUCCUGCUCGUUGGUGUGACCAUUCAACCACUGAAGGUGCAGGAUCUCUUCAUUAAAUUAUGGCAAAUAAUGGGCCACAGGAUAAGACAGCACAGCAACUGUGUGGCUGCUUGUGAGUCUUUCAGAAAUAAUGAUACUUCUUCACCUAAAGUGUCCAAUUAAUACCAAGUCAUGUCUGAAAAUGUAACAGUAACAAAAUAAUAUUUUCUUGGUGGAUGCAUAUGGUUUUACUAACUACUGUUUAUGUGCUCCUAUCAAACUUGCUGGCACUUGUUCACACCCUCAACUAUUUGUUCAGUUAUUAAAUAGCUGACAAAAGUGUAAAACUAUUAGCUAUUAGCUAAAUAAAACUAUGUAAAAGUAAUAGUUACAUUAAUACAUUUUUAAUGAACAUUUUUUCCUAAAGCAGAAUAACAAAACCCAAAAUUGCUGUAUGGCUGCUGCACCUAGGAAAAAGUCAAGUUUAAUGAUAAAUCUGGCCUUAGAGAACCAGCCAGAAUGGAUAGAGUUUGAAUAGGAUUUAAAAACCCAACUGUGUGCAGAAAUUAGA